ACUGUCUCCAUCAUCAGACACACCCCCUGGCCCUGGCCACUGGGAGGUGCCCCAGAGACAGCAGGCCCAGCUAAAUCCAAGGCGGUCUCUCCCAGGCCUAGGCUCUCCGGAGGACUGCGCGCAGGCAGCUGCCGAGGGAACAAGGGAACUUGCUGCCCAAAAUGUGUAGCUGCGAGUCCAAGAAAAGGACACAAAAUCCUCAGGAAGAAGAUUACUCAGUGUAUUUAAUGCUGCCCUUCCUCAAUUCCACCCAAAGCUCACAUGGCGACACGAAGGGCAUUGGUGAGGAAACCAGCGAGGAGUCUGCAUGAGCCUGAGAUGUUGCUAAGCUCUCUGAUAUCUGCGGUGAGAGUGUCUACGCGAAGAUUACCCAUGCUGGGCUCCAGCGUUUCAACCCUAACCCCACAAUGAGCGCCUGGUCACUCUGUGGUCUAAACUCUGAGAGAAGAGAGCAUUCCAUACUAUACUACAUUUCGUACACAAUUAUUUGAUACAUGGAAGAAACCAUAAAUAUUAUUUAUCUUACCAUGGGCCUCAGAAUGUCCAAACACCACAGCUAAUUAGGGUUCAAUAAUAGAUUCAAUAAGCUGAAGCCUGUUUUUCUGGUUUAUCAAAACAAGUAAAGCAAUGGCCAUUACAUUCUAAUUUGUAAGCAUUUUGUUUGAUGGCUUUGAGUAGAAAGUACUUAGCUUUGCCUGUCCUAUAGGAGGUCCAGCCACCAUCUAAAGUCAGCACUAAACUAUAUCUGUUGCCAUUUACGAUACUUUUUUCCAUUUGUGGAAACAAGUUAUUUGUUAUAACCAAACAUAUAUUCAAAUACAGACGGAGCUUUUGCUAAAAGAUUAGAAAGUCAAUAUUUCCUAAUUGGCAAGGAGAAGGAUUUGGUCAAAGCCAAUGAGAAUUUCUUCUAUGAUCAGUCUUUCCCCAGGAGCUGGCUCCUGUGAAGAUUAUAACUCACCUGCUGCAGAUGCGAGUAAAGUUGACACUGUGAAGCAAAGCAUACUAGUAUAUUUCACCAUCUCAGGGUACCCCAGUUGAAAAGUUUUAAUCAAGACUCCCUAAACCAUGAUUUCUCAACUUCAGCACUAUUGACUUUGAGGGUAGAUAAUUCUUUGUUGUAGGGGCUGUCCUAUGCAUUGUCAAUGUUUAGCAGCAUUCCUGGCUGACACCCACUAGAUGCUGGUAACAUCCUCCUCACCAGUCAUGACAACAAAAAAUGCAUCCAGACAUUGCCAAUGUCCCCUGGGGAAGAAAAAUCACCCCCAGUGAUGCUCCUCCACUCCUUGUGCAUGAUAUACAUUAAUAUUUCCAUGGAGGUGACUUGCCAAGGUUCAUAACCUUGUCCUUAAGCAAGAAUUUGCAUGUGUGUGUACCUUUAUUUUUUUAAUGAAUUGAACAUUUAUUUAAAAUCAUAUUGUGCUAUUUAUAGUAUUCUUGUCUUGCAUGUUUUACUUAAUCACAUAUCCUCCAGAACUGUGAGAAUUUUGUUUCUGCUAUUAAGCUACCUAGUCUAUGGUAUU
rnacentral:lncRNA from 1 species